CCUAGGGAGGCAGCAGUGGGGGAUAUUGCACAAUGGGGGGAACCCUGAUGCAGCGACGCCGCGUGGGUGAAGAAGCGCCUCGGCGCGUAAAGCCCUGUCAGCAGGGAAGAAAGAAAUGACGGUACCUGACUAAGAAGCCCCGGCUAACUACGUGCCAGCAGCCGCGGUAAUACGUAGGGGGCAAGCGUUAUCCGGAUUUACUGGGUGUAAAGGGAGCGUAGACGGCGAUGCAAGUCUGAAGUGAAAGGCGGGGGCCCAACCCCCGGACUGCUUUGGAAACUGUAUGGCUGGAGUGCAGGAGAGGUAAGUGGAAUUCCUAGUGUAGCGGUGAAAUGCGUAGAUAUUAGGAGGAACACCAGUGGCGAAGGCGGCUUACUGGACUGUAACUGACGUUGAGGCUCGAAAGCGUGGGGAGCAAACAGGAUUAGAUACCCCAGUAGUC
rnacentral:rRNA from 1 species